UCAGACCUCUGGAAUUUUUUUGUGAACUCAAGCCAAAUGUAGUGCAUUAUUUAUAUGUAGCCUUCAGGCUUUAAGUGUCUGUAUCUAGAACUAUAAAUGACUUUGUGCACGAGUGCAUGCGUGUGUGAAGACAUAUGUGCAGAAGUUCUUGCACACCAGUAAAAUAUAAGGAGAAUCACUGGUACAAAAACAAUUUAUCUAUAUUACAUAUGGUGUCAUUGUCAUAUAAUGGGUAAUUCAUGAAAUAGAUUUCUCAACAUUAUAAAUCAAAACCAGGACCUAAAUAUGUGAGACUUCUGAAAAAAACUGUUCUUUUCCCAGAAAAAAACGGACACCAGGACAUAAGCUCAGUUUAAUUUGCAGUCAAAAUCUCUAAAUGGCAAAACAACACAAUUUUCUCACUUAUGAUAUUUUGACCCUUUGGAAAUACAUUUAGACUAUGCAGUUUGUCUGUCUUCCUUGCUCUAAGUGCUUAAAAUACAGGCUCACUGUGUGGUUAUUUGAAGUGCAUUGUGAAAUAUGGAUCAUUCAUUAGAUAAGGAGGUUUCUCUGUUUGAAGCCACCAACAAGACCACCACCACCAAAAAAAAAAAAUGGUUUUCUUUUUUAUUCAGCUUUUAUCAGCUACCUACACCUCUCUGGAAAAAAUGGCAUGUCCUUGUAUACUGCAGUGAACUCAGUUCUCCACAAGAUGUCACUGUUUUAUGGAGUACAGUUUUCCCCCAAUGACUCUACUUCUUGUGAUUUCAAGGCUCCAAACUCAGGCAACCCAAGCAAUACAGAAAAUAUCAUAAAUAAAAUGGAGCAGCCCAUAACAAAUUGACUAAGUCGAGGCAAAUAUUUUUGCAGCCUACUCAGUCCAAAUUUUCUAUUGAAAUUUAACAUGUGGCCAAGUCAGAAAUAAAUUGUAUUCAUAAGUGAUGUGGGGCUGCGAUAUGUUUUCAUAUUCAACUGCCUUGCAAAAAUAGAUGGAUUUAUUGAAUUGAGCAGCUGGCCAAAUUUUGACAAAGUAAGAUACUUCAAUGUAACAUUGCAGUUUUCUAUUAAAGUAAAAAUAUUGCAGUUAAUUCAGAGUAUUUUAUUUUUUAUGUCAAGAAAUCAGGACAACUUAUUUUCAUUUAGCAGUUUGAUUCUCAGCUGUGUUUUAUUCAGUCCAGGGGAGGGGCUAAACAGUCAGCGAUUGGGAGAAGGCUAUGCAGAGUUCUCAGAAUGCAGGACUUAUUCUGUUCUAGCUGUGCUUAAAGUGAGUGUUUAUUUCUAACAGCUGUCAUGAUGUUUCACUGUUUAUUGCUUCUAUUUUCAGCAAUGGUGGGUGACAGCCUUGGACAGGAUACAAUCAUUUCCACAUCUAAAGACGAGCAUGUUUUGGAUGGCAGCCGAGUUACUCUGUCAUGCAACUACUCAUCUGUUAGUGGAAAGAGUUUACAAUGGUAUCGCCAGCACCCUGGAUCCAAACCAGAAUUCCUUCUCCUGAUCCUCAUCCUUGGAAGUGAAGAGGAAAAGACAAACAAGCAGUUCACCGUAAAACAUGAUAAAAAGAACAGCCGUGUGCAUCUGGAGAUCUCCUCUGUUCAAGUGACAGACUCUGCACUGUACUACUGUGCCCUGCAGCCCACAGUAACAGGAAACCCAUUUAUGCUGUACAAAAACCUACCACCUGUGACAAAAUAGUAAAGUUCCAUUUCCUGUAAA